UGCCAGACUCCUACGGGAGGCAGCAGUGAGGAAUAUUGGUCAAUGGGCGGAAGCCUGAACCAGCCAAGUCGCGUGAGGGACUAAGGCCCUGCGGGUCGUAAACCUCUUUUGCCGGGGAGCAACGGGGUCCUUGCGAGGGCCCAAUGAGAGUACCCGGAGAAAAAGCAUCGGCUAACUCCGUGCCAGCAGCCGCGGUAAUACGGAGGAUGCGAGCGUUAUCCGGAUUUAUUGGGUUUAAAGGGUGCGUAGGCGGAAUGCCAAGUCAGCGGUAAAAUCGCGGGGCUCAACCUCGCUCCGCCGUUGAAACUGGCGUUCUUGAGUGGGCGAGAAGUAUGCGGAAUGCGUGGUGUAGCGGUGAAAUGCAUAGAUAUCACGCAGAACUCCGAUUGCGAAGGCAGCAUACCGGCGCCCAACUGACGCUGAAGCACGAAAGCGUGGGUAUCGAACAGGAUUAGAUACCCGCGUA
rnacentral:rRNA from 1 species